rnacentral:rRNA from 1 species
AACGAACGCUGGCGGCAGGCUUAACACAUGCAAGUCGAACGCACCGCAAGGUGAGUGGCAGACGGGUGAGUAACGCGUGGGAACAUACCCUUUCCUGCGGAAUAGCUCCGGGAAACUGGAAUUAGUACCGCAUACGCCCUUCGGGGGAAAGAUUUAUCGGGGAAGGAUUGGCCCGCGUUGGAUUAGCUAGUUGGUGGGGUAAAGGCCUACCAAGGCGACGAUCCAUAGCUGGUCUGAGAGGAUGAUCAGCCACAUUGGGACUGAGACACGGCCCAAACUCCUACGGGAGGCAGCAGUGGGGAAUAUUGGACAAUGGGCGCAAGCCUGAUCCAGCCAUGCCGCGUGAGUGAUGAAGGUCUUAGGAUUGUAAAGCUCUUUCACCGGAGAAGAUAAUGACGGUAUCCGGAGAAGAAGCCCCGGCUAACUUCGUGCCAGCCGCCGCUGUAAGAC